rnacentral:rRNA from 1 species
CAAAAGAAGUAGGUAGCUUAACCUUCGGGGGGGCGCUUACCACUUUGUGAUUCAUGACUGGGGUGAAGUCGUAACAAGGUAACCGUAGGGGAACCUGCGGUUGGAUCACCUCCUUACCUUAAAGAAGC